CAACAAAAAAUCCAGAAAAACGCAUGUCAAAAAUGUUAUAAAUUGAUUUUUGCUUUAAAAUAGCUUUAAAAUAGCUACCUUGUUUGUGAAAUCAGCAUACAAUAUUUCGGCUGAGGCCAAAAAACACUAUUUGACAAUCUCCGCGUCUGUGAAGGCCGCCUUGUUUCUCGCGAGUGUCCAAGCAAUCUCAUAUGUUGUCUCUGUCGUUAUUUCUGCAUCAGUGCUAGUUCUGUCCAUUAUUUGCUGUUGUCCUUUGAGCUGUCCUUUGAGUUGCGCUAUUUUGUUGUUUCUGAGGUUGUUUUGUCAAAGUGGGCAUGGUGUGACUGGAAAUGUCACUCUAAAUUUGCUCAUUUAAAACAAUUGACUGCCUUCAAGCAAAUAAGACAAAGUGAGCUAGUCCCAUCAUGCAGUACAAAAAAGACUGUGUUCUUCUUGAGUCGACCAUAUACUUCGCAUUUGCCAGGUUAGCUACAUUAGCUAGCUGCAUUUCCCCGCCGCCAUUUCCUGAUUUUCCUGGUUCUCCGGUUGUUGUUCGUUCAUAGCUGUCACGUUGUUCUCCAGCACUUCCCCCUCGUUUUCAUUGUCAAUAGAUUUACAUUUCUUUUUUUGCAAUAAAUCGAUCCAUGUCGACCAGACUGCAAAAUUAGCUAGUAGCAAACUGAUAUGUGUAGGUCGCUGUAGCUGAGCAGUUACGUUCUAUUUCGGCCUUUCUGUUCAACAGCUGCACUAUACUGCCAUCUAUCUGCCGUCCAGGGAACAAUAGAUAUAUUCAAUGAAGUGAUUCAGGCCUGCAUUAAACACAUUGAAUUGAAGUUGUAUCAUUGUUAUGUAUUAUGUAUGGAAAAUAGAAAGAUCACCGCAAGCCACAAAUUAAGGAAUGCGGCCCGCGGGCCACACAAUGAGUACCACUGCCCUAAGGUUACAGAGGCCACACGCUCUCCUGCAAUGGAACCAGUAGGUUUCCAGAGUGGACUCGAGCAUCUUAUUGGUAAGGGAAUAGAUGUCAAGGUGGUCACAACAGACAGAUCGUUCUCCGUUCGAAAGAUAAUGAGAGAGUCCUAUCCGGACAUUGAACAUCCAAUUUGACACCAGGCAUACAUGUAAAGGACAGUAAACUGUAAAGACAUCCACAGAUGACACAAUCUCUAUUGCACUCCACACUGCUCAGCGUUCAACACCAUAGUGCCUUUCAAGCUCAUCACUAAGCUAAAGACCAUGGGAUUAAAGACCUCCCUCUGCAACUGAAUCCUGGACUUCCUAACGGACUGCCCACAGGUGGUGAGGGUAGGCAGCAACACAUCUCCCAACACUGACCCUCAACACGGGGGCCCCUCAGGGGUGCGUGCUUAGUCCUCCUGUACUCGCUGUUCACCUAUGACUGUGUGGCCGCACACGACUCCAACACCAUUAUUAAGAUUGCAGACGAUACGACAGUGGAAGGCCUGAUCACCCACGACGAUGAGAUGGCCUAAAGGAAGCUGAUCGUGGACUACAGGAAACGGAGGUCAGAGCACAUCCGCAUCGACGGGCUGUAGUGGAGCAGGUCGAGAGCUUCAAGUUCCUCGGUGUCCAUAUCACUAAGGAAUUAUCAUGGUCCAACAAUUAUCAUAGCCCGACAACGCUGCCUUCCCCCUCAGGAGGCUGAAAGGUUUCGACAUGGGCCCUCAGCUCCUCAAAAAGUUCUACAGUUGCACCAUUGAGAGCAUCUUGACUGGCUGCAUCACCGCUUGGUAUGGCAACUGCUUGGCAUCUGACUGCAAGGCGCUACAUCUCUGUGGCCGAGCUACCUGCCAUCCAGGACCUCUAUACCAGGCGGUGUCAGAGAAAUGCCCUAAAAAUUGAGAAGCGGUACCGAUGCACCAAGUGUGGAACCAACAGGACCCUGAACAGCUUCUACCCCCAAGUCAUAAGACUGCUAAAUAGUUCACCGGGUAGCUAUUGGUUAACUAUCUGCAUUGACCGUUUUUGCACUGUCUUUUGAGUCAUCACAUAUGCUGCUGCUACUGUUUAUUAUCUAUCCUGUUGCCUAUUCACUUUAUCCCCAUCUACAGUAUAUGUACAUAUCUACCUCAAUGUUGGGCUCCCGAAUAGUGCAACAGUCUAAGGCACUGCGUCUCUACAGUCCCUGGUUCGAUUCCAAGCUGUAUCACAACCGGCCGAGAUUGGGAGUCCCAUAAGGAGGCGCACAAUUGGCCCAGCAUUGUCCGGGUUUGGUCAGGGUAGGCCGUCAUUGUAAACAAGAAUUUGUUCUUAACUGAUUUGCCUAGUUAAAUAAAAGUAAAUAAAUACCUAAAUAAGUACCCCUGCACCUCAAUUACCUCGUACUCCUGCACAUCGACUCGGUACUGUUACCCAGUAUAUAUAGCCAAGUUAUCAUUACUCAUUGUGCAUUUAUUCCUUGUGUUAUUUUUUUCUAUUGUUUCAAUUUGUUUCACUGCAUUGUUGGGAAGGGCCAAUAAGUAAGCAUUUCACUGUUAGUCUACACCUGUUGAUUUACGAAGCAUGUGACAAAUAAUGUAUUUUAAUUUGAUUUGAUCUUACGCUGUGGGUGAAGAGUAUCUGCCAUCAUCUCUGGUGGAGUUGUAGCUCAUGUGGAGGAGUUAGAGGUAAAUACAUAAAUCAAUAGUGUAACUGUAGAAAAACAACCCCACUCAUGUCUCACUCCCCUCAGCUGGUCUCAGACCACUUUGAAGUGUUUGUGACAGUAUUACCCAUCCCCCAGUGGGGGAUGGGUAUCAGGAGCCCUGUCUAUCUGCCCUGUCUAUCAGGAGCCAACAAUCUACUCACCCUGACAGCUACAUCUCAGUUUCCCGGAACGGUGUGCAGAUAUCAACAAUGCUUGUCUGUUGAAUUCAUGCCUGUUUGUGAUCAAAUGUCAUUUUCAGGAGUUGAAGUGCAGGUUCAGGUCAAUGCUCCAUCACAAAUAAAUAAAAUAACAUCUGUGGAGUCUAUCGCUGGGAAGUGGACGGAGUGGAACACCACUGUUACCAUGGAGCGCUAACAGCGGACCAGCAGUGGAAGAAGAGGUAAUUACAGGAAGAUUCACCAACCUUCAAAGCCCUGUACUCUCUGGUCAUGGACAAACGCCUGCAGAAUGAUCUCGAUCAGAUGGGACAGUUCAAGCACACAGGAACACUUGAGGUAUUUCACAGUUCUAUGUUGAAAUACUGUCAAAAGCGUCUCCACUUCAAAGACUACAGCAUGAAAGCCCGUACCCAGUUGACAGUUUUGGACCAGAAUGAGAAUCAGAACCGUAAUAGAGGACAAGCCUCAACCAUUGUUGUCAACGUUGGAUUGCCCGGCCAAUAUACCAGCCCACCAGGAAUGACCUGAUUGAGCGCAUCCUCAUGGACAAAUUAGUGAAAUACUGGGAGCCAAAAUCCUGUGGAAGCGGCUGUCGUCUGGCUGCCAACAGCCCCCAUCCCAAACCCCAGCAAGGAGGUGGUUAUUGCAGCACACACAUCAAGACUCAAGGACACUUGGGGGAUUUUCUGACCCCCCCCCCCCCCCAACCUAAUACGAACACACUCCAUUGUAAUAUAAUUUGUUAGCAUCUUAUCCUUAACACUGGAUUUGAUAAAAAUCCAUCUAAUGUAGGCUUCUACUGUAAAUAAAAGCGCCGCCAUACCUACUUUAUACUGUCUAUUUUAACAUUGGUUGAUGUGAAUUUUGAGAAUGCCUUGUCUAUACUGUGUAUUGUUCGUUGUUGUAUUGAACCUUUAUUUAACUAGGCAAAUCAGUUAAGAACAAAUUCUUAUUUACAAUGACGGCCUACCUGGCCAAACCUGGCCAACGCUGCGCUGCCCUAUGGGACUCCCAAUCAUGGCCAG